rnacentral:tRNA from 1 species
GCCUCUAUAGCUCAGUGGUAGAGCGCAGCACUUGUAAUGCUGAGGUCCGUUGUUCAAUCCAGCGUGGAGGCA